GGCGCUAAUAAAAAAUUUCAUGCGAGUCACUAUAUGAAAGAUUUACAUGAAGUAGUGCGUCACAAUAGUGACUCGCAUGAAAUUUUUUAUUAGCGCC